rnacentral:tRNA from 1 species
GGGGAUGUAGCUCAGUGGCUGGGCCUUUGGUUAGCAUGCAUAAUGUUCUGGGUUCAAUUCCCAGCACCUCA